rnacentral:rRNA from 1 species
GAUGAACGCUGGCGGCGUGCCUAAUACAUGCAAGUCGAGCGAACAGACGAGGAGCUUGCUCCUCUGACGUUAGCGGCGGACGGGUGAGUAACACGUGGAUAACCUACCUAUAAGACUGGGAUAACUUCGGGAAACCGGAGCUAAUACCGGAUAAUAUAUUGAACCGCAUGGUUCAAUAGUGAAAGACGGUUUUGCUGUCACUUAUAGAUGGAUCCGCGCCGCAUUAGCUAGUUGGUAAGGUAACGGCUUACCAAGGCAACGAUGCGUAGCCGACCUGAGAGGGGGAUCGGGCACAGUGGAAGUGAGACACGGUCCAGACUCCUACGGGAGGCAGCAGUAGGGAAUCUUGCGCAAUGGGCGAAAGACUGACGGAGCAACGCCGCGUGAGUGAUGAAGGUCUUCGGAUCGGAAAACUCUGUUAUGAGGGAAGAACAAAUGUGUAAGUAACUAUGCACGUGUUGACGGUACCUAAUCAGAAAGCCACGGCUAACUACGU